rnacentral:lncRNA from 1 species
AUGGAAAGGCAUCAGUUCUUAAAAAUACAUAAAGAGAAAGAUAAAGCGAGAGAUAAAGAAAAAGUAAAAGAAAAAAAAGAGAUAAACGAAUUUAUGCCAGAAUUGGACAGUAAUACGAUUUUUAGCAUAAACUCUAUGAGUAAUGAAACAAAAAAUUAUUUUUUAACAAAUUAUAUAGCUAAGAUUCAGUAUUUAACUGAUAAUUCAAUUAACCCCAGUUAUUAUGAAGUUUUAAAUGUGGAUAUAAACACAGAUAUUAAACAUAUUCGAAAAAGUUAUUUAUUAUUGUCUAAAUUAUUUAAUGUUAAUAAAAAACUACCAAAUGAACACAAAGAAUAUUAUUAUUUAAUACAAAAAGCAUAUAAUGUAUUAACAGAUAAAUUUGAAAAAUUUUAUUAUGAUGUUAUAAAUAAUCAUAUUGUUAAUGGGAGAUUAAUAGAAGAACAAAGAAAAGCAUUAGAAGAAGAGGCAGAUAUUAUUUAUAAAAAUAGAAUAGAAGAAUUAAAUUAUUUAUAUAAUAAAAAAUUAGAAGAAGAAAGUGAAAAAAAUGGUUUAAUUAUAGAAAAAGCAUUAUAUGGUAAUGUGACAAUAAAAAAACAAUAUAUAAAUACAUGUUUAGACAUUGAAUCAAUAAAUGAAAAACAUUUAGAAGGACCUUACAUAGAUUUAACUACAAUUUUACAAUCGAAAAUUGAAAAUAGUUCAUUAUUAUUUAAUGAUGAUUUUUCUUUUGCUUAUUUUUGUGAUGUUCCCAAACCAUUAAUUAAAAUUUCCAACAAUUAUGAAAAACAAAAAACAGCUAACUCUUAUAUAAAUUUAUUAACAGAAACAGAAAUGUAUUUAUAUGUAAGAUAUAAAUUUUUAAAUAUAUAUCAUGAAUGUAUUAUUAUUGAUAGAGCAAAUUAUUCAUUACCUCAAAGUACACAUAGAGUUUUUGGAAAUCACAUAUUAGGUCCAUUUUCACCAGUUAACAUAACAAAAAUGCAACAUUUACCUAACUCUUUUUUUGAUAAGUUUUUUCAUUUUUUUGCAAAAAAUAAGUUUUAUAUCACAUUGUUGACAACGAUUAUACUUUGUGCACAAUCUGUUAAAUCAAGAUAA